rnacentral:lncRNA from 1 species
UUUUAUAGCAUCUUAAACAAGGCUGUUUCUAUCAGUUUUAUGCUGCUUAAUACUCUCUCAUCUGUUGUGUUGUUGUUUUGCUGUUUCAUAUGCAUUAAUUUUAAUGGGAAAAACACUCACAAAAUAUUACCAUUGAUACUCUAAGUGGCCAAUAAUUUCAUAUUUAUCCAUAUUUUCCCAAUCCAGAGCUGUUUAUUUCUAUUGAUGUCAACCUUGAAUGAUUUUUAUUAACUCCCAAAUAAAUGCUUUAUUAUUUUCUGUUAUAUGUGGCUGCUGGUGACAAUCUCUUAGAUUUUUUUUCCCUUUGUCCAAAACUACCUUCAUUUUACUUUCAACUUUGAAUGAUAAUUUCACUGUAUAUAACACACUAGAUUCCUUAGCAGUUAUAAAUGUUUCCUGGCUUCUGUCAUGUGUCAAAUACGUAGGCAAGGUGGAGGAACAAACCAAGUUUAUUGGGGAAAGUUUUUUGGGGUAACUCCUAUAAAAAAUAUAAAGGGAGCAAGCAGUCAUAAGGGUGAUCUGAAGCCUGUGAAGAGAAAAGGGGAAGGAAGACCCUCAUACCAUCUUCCAAAUCUGAAAAACCUUUGGGGAGCCCUGAAGCAAAUGUGACCCUCUGAGGAAUCCUACAUUACUUAGAAAUAACCAGGCCAUAGUACUCCUCUUUGCUUAGACCUUAAUUUGGUGCUGAGAAAAGAAUGGCCUUGACCAUUCAAGUUGAAGUACAUUCUGAAAGCACUGAAAGUGGAGGCUGUCAGCUAACCAUGUUCAGCACAAAUGAGUAGCAACUUCUCCUUGAAGGGAGAAAAGAGAGGCACAAUUCUAUGAUCACAGUCUACCUCCUGCACCCCAUUCAUUCAUUCUUUUAUAUACAUUUAAGGUGUACUUCCUCUGGGAUUCCAAUGGAUCUCUCUUUUUGGUUGAGAAAAAAGAAGGCAGCUGGUGGGACAAACAACAGUCACUACUGUAGUUGGUCUUGGAGGUCACAAUUAGAACUCAUUGUUGUCUCUCUUCCAUUCUAAUCUAAAGUCUUCUCACCUUCAGUACAAUUUCUCCUGGUUUCCAUGACUGGUUUCCAUGGAGUGAUAUAUGAGAUGUCCAAGUUUCUUAUAAUACCAUUCUUAGAAAGGAACUGGCACACAUGUUCAUUCAUAUGUACAUGCACAUGUUCAUUCAGACGGGGAAGUUUCAAGAGGCACCCAAGUAAACUUCUAUAAAUAUUCCUUUCUGGCCUCAUUAAAUAAAAGUAGUCCUAAUUUAUCAUUCUGAUAAGGAUCAAUUCUAGCAACAUGGAGACUCUUUUUCUUGGCUGCUAUUCUUUGGACUCAAGAAUUCCAAAGUACCCAGAUAACAGUCAGAGGAUUCAGGUCAAUGGGGACUUUGCUGAGUUCUUGUGGAAGAAUUUGCUCCUUUUGAAUACCAGGAACUAUAGAAGUCAGAAUGGUGGAGAUGAAAAGCAUAUUCUCAAAAUGGAUCACUGAAUCUUAGACAUAGUGCCAUAUAAGACAUUAAUUGAAGGUACAUUCUGCCUUUUAAGGGAUGGUGCCCUAUGCUCACAGAGUAGUGUGUCUGAGCUGACACUUCAGUAGUCCCUUCAGUAGAUUAUUACCAAGGUCUAGGGCUGGCUGAUUGGUUAUUAUACCAUGUGAUGUGACCAGUGGGUCCCAUGGUUUGGACCCACUUACAAAGCCUUCCACAUCUUUAUUCUGCACUGCUAUGUAGGAUUUUAUACUUCUUGCAUUAGGCUACUCCAGAGGAACAGAACCAGUAGAAUUUGUAUAUAUGUGUGAGAGAGAAUUUAUUCUAAGGAACUAACUCAUAUGAUCAUGGGAUCUGGCAUGUCUGAAGCUUGCAGAUCCAACUAGCAGGAAACAGAUUCAUCAAGAGAUAGAAAUAGAGAUAGAGAUGUAGAGAUAGAGACAGACAGAUGAUAGAGACAGAGACAGAGAAAGACAGAGACAGAGAGAGAGAGAUAGAGAUAGAGGAAGAGGGGUACUCCUAUUAAUUGCCCACCUAUUUGUCUCUAGAGAAGCUAUAUUCUAUUAAUCAUCUCCACAACACUUUGAAAAUGAUGUCCCCCUGUUUACUACUCCAACCUGAUCAGUCAUUAUGUUAAUUGAGACACUCCAUCUUCUGUAGUUAAGUGCUGGUUCUUAGCUUUUAUUACUUCCAGGGCCUUAUCUAUUUGGUUUUUUUCAGCUCUGUCACAAACUGAACUCCAUGGAAGCCUUCUCUGUCAGCCACUGUGCCUUGGGGAUCAGAGACACAAGUGAGCUUUUUAUUCAUCCUGCUGCCCCUCUAGCCAGAAGCCAGUGCAUUCCUGAGAACCAUGUUAAAGGGUGUAUCCUCUGGGCCUUCUCGUGGAACAACCUCUCGGGACAAGAUGAGGAGAAGUCCUGAAGGUGAUUGUGCUGGCCAGUCUUGGUUGCCAUUGUGACUGUGUUAAGCAACUCCUGUAGAGAUAAUUGGACCAUAAAGGCACCAACCUCAUCAAGGACCAACCCACAGACAAGUUCAUCACUGAAGAGGCUGUUAGAGGGUGUGCCUCGCUGGAGAGACUGAGGUUGAAGCACAAGUCAUGAGAGCUCUCCCUGUCUGGUCCACUCUUCUCCUUCCAGUCACACCUCACGUCACUUGAUCUAAACCCUCCCUGUCUUCCUGCAUGGACACCUUUGAAGUUGCCCUACUGCUGGAAGCACCAGGACCUUCCUUAGUAUGGAUUCCUAUGGAGAAACUCAUGGCUUCUGCAUUGGUCUUUCCAGAUCCCAGCUUAAUAAAAGCAAUGCCAUUUGUUUUACUAGAUGUUUUUACUACAGAUUUCUUCCUAAUGCACACUUAUUAAAAAUUUAGGGUUACUCCAAGUACAUUCUGAAAUUCCUUUAGAAAUUUACAGGAUAUGCAUGUAUCAUACUGGUCUCACAGAGGCGUUACAUAUAUGCAAAUAUUUACAUUUUACUUUGCUUGGAAGAAACUUUGGAAGUAUGCUUUUAAACUUUAGUAGUAAUCCAAAGAUGGCCAUCUUAUUAGGGUGUAAAAAAUGUGGCCUAAAUACCCUAGUUUAUAAUUCAGCAAAGUGUUUGGAGGAGGCACAGUAGAAAUGAUGAAUGGUAAAGGUGGGAUUAUUACUCAAGUCUCAUUUGUGACAGUUGACUUCCGUGAUAUUUAUCUUACAUUUUUCUUUUUCGCUGUGUGUGUGAGUGUAAUAUACUUUAUAUAUUAGCAUUGGUCCAUCUAUUAUUAUAUUGGCAGCAGGAGAUUUUCAUUGAUUAGUUUCUAUUUGCUUUUUCUUUCUCUAAACCUUCAUGCUGUAAUGCAGAAGAUUUAUUUUCAAUGAUUUAUUAAAAUGUAAUUCUAAGGUGACUCCUUAUCAAGGAAGUAAUCUGCAGACUAUCUUUGUUUAAACUUGCAACCUGCUUUGUCAAGGAAAACUGCCUAUGAAAUUUUCAUUAUAAUAGACAGCUUUUCAUAAUGAAUGAAAAACAGCUAUUAUGAUUGAAAACAAAUUGCUCUGAAACAUAUUCUUUGAAACAAUGUGCUGCUUAAUUGUAUUUUGGAGGAGGGGGAGGCUAAGGCAAUUCUGUUUAAUUGGUUACAUUUUUCAGUUCUAUAAAUUAAUUUGCACUACCCAAUAUCACUUAAUUUUUCCCUAGGAAAGCUUUUGCUUGCCCUAGCAAUAUUAUAACUGCUAAUUCAAUUACACUGAAAUUGUUUAAUAGAAAAUAUAAUUGCUUAUUCAUACAGAAUACCCAUUAAAGAAGUGCAAAAGCGUGAACCUGAGGGUUAGUGCAUAUUAAUACUUUGGGAAUAAAGAUGGGAAUGUUGUGCAGAGAAGGUACUGGCUGAUCUUUAAUUGUUCAUCACCUGCCUCCAAAAUAAUAUGAAUGGACCCAAACUAAAUGACCACUCAUUACAAGUUUCAAUUUAGGAGCUUGGCUGGGGUCAGCAGAUUGCUUAUGCUGAUCUCAAUGAUUUGAAGUUGUGAUUACCAUAAGCAAUUUAAAUUUUAUUGAUCUCCCCUUCUGAAAGUUGUAAUUGAGCAUAGAUGUUGGACCCAGAGCUCUCCAAACUAAAUUGUACUCUGAAGCACUUGCUGGAUUCCUGCAAGAAUCAAUAAGCAGUCAGUCACAUUAACAAUGAAAUAGGUCCAUUAACAUACGGUGCUAUUGGUGAAACUUUAUUUAGGAAGGGUGUUAGUUCACUUCAUUGUUUUAUCAAUGGAUCUUGGCUGUACACAGAAAAGUAUUGCUUUAAUAUGUGUAAUAAACUUGUAUGAAAAUGAAAUUACAUUUUAUAAAUAUAUGGAAUGAGACUAGGUAGGCAGUUGAGUCCUUAUAUGAGAGUCAUUGUGAUUCAUAUCAUCAUUUUACUGUAAACAGAGGUUUUAUAUGACUGGAAUUGCAGCUUGCUUGCCGCAGUGCUUUGCAGUAAUUCUGAAUUUUUAUUCCUCCUUAUUAGAUACAGGGUUUCCCUCCAUCAAGGUUAAGUACGUCUCGAAGUCUCCAUGUUCAGUGGUAAUUAUACAAUUAAAAAAGUAAACAUAAACCUGGUGUGGUGGUUCAUGCCUGUGACCUCAGCAUUCUGGGAGAUCGAGGUAGGAGGACUGCAAGUUUGAGCCCAGCUUGGGCAACUUAGUGACUUAGUGAGAACCUAUCUCAAAAUAAAAUAAAAUAAAAUGGUAUGGGUGUGUAGCUUCGUGUGAAGGCCCUGAGCUACAUUCCUAGCACCAUGGGAGGGGCGGACUUUUAUAAAGCCACGGUAGUUUCAGGAAGACAUGUGAGUCCAUUCUAGGAUAUAAUUUAAAGUACAGUGUUCGCUCUCUUAUGUAACACAAACAGGUACAUUAAAUAAAAUAUCUAUCAACUAUUUUAUAAUUCUUUGUGAAAACUAUCUUUCAAAAAUAUAAAACUACAUCAGUUUUGGGUUCAGAAAAUGAUGUAGCCAGAGAAAGAAGUAGGAAAAAAAAAUCCUUGUUGAAAAUAC